GGUGAACGCUGGCGGUGCGCCUAACACAUGCAAGUCGAGCGUGAUCUACUGAUGGCUUGCCAUCGGUAGUGAAAGCGGCAAACGGGUGAGUAACGCGUGGGAAUCUGCCUCUAAGUCAGGGAUAGACCGCCGAAAGGCGGAGUAAUACCGGAUAGUCCCGCAAGGGUAAAGUAGCAAUGCGCUUAGGGAGGAGCCUGCGUCGGAUUAGCUAGUAGGCGGGGUAACGGCCCACCAAGCCUUCGAUCAGUAGCUGAUGUGAGAGCAUGAUCAGCCACACGGGCACUGAGACACGGGCCCGACUCCUACGGGAGGCAGCAGUAAGGAAUAUUGGACAAUGGGCGCAAGCCUGAUCCAGCCAUGCCGCGUGUGUGAAGAAGGCCUUCGGGUUGUAAAGCACUUUCAGUAGGGAGGAAGCGUUGUGUGUUAAUAGUACACAGCGUUGACGUUACCUACAGAAGAAGCACCGGCUAACUCUGUGCCAGCCGCCGCCGUAAUAC
rnacentral:rRNA from 1 species